rnacentral:rRNA from 1 species
AAUCGAAGCAGUGAACUUAAGCCCCAGUAAACGGCGGCCGUAACUAUAACGGUCCUAAGGUAGCGAAAUUCCUUGUCGGGUAAGUUCCGACCCGCACGAAAGGCGUAACGAUUUGGGCACUGUCUCAACAACAGACUCGGUGAAAUUGUAAUUCCGGUGAAGAUGCCGGAUACCUGCGACAGGACGGAAAGACCCCAUGGAGCUUUACUGUAGCUUGACAUUGGGUCUUGGUACUACAUGUACAGGAUAGGUGGGAGGCUUUGAAACCAGGACGCCAGUUUUGGCGGAGCCAUCCUUGGGAUACCACCCUUGUAGUACUGGGACUCUAACCAUAGGCCAUGAAUCUGGUCUUGGGACACUGUCAGGUGGGCAGUUUGACUGGGGCGGUCGCCUCCCAAAAGGUAACGGAGGCGCUCAAAGGUUCUCUCAGUACGGUCGGAAAUCGUACGUAGAGGGUAAAGGCAAAAGAGAGCUUGAUUGCAAGACAUACAGGUCGAGCAAGGAUGAAAAUCGGACGUAGUGAUCCGGUGGUUCUGCGUGGAAGGGCCAUCGCUCAACGGAUAAAAGCUACCCUGGGGAUAACAGGCUUAUCUCCCCCAAGAGUCCACAUCGACGGGGAGGUUUGGCACCUCGAUGUCGGCUCAUCACAUCCUGGGGCUGUAGUAGGUCCCAAGGGUUGGGCUGUUCGCCCAUUAAAGUGGUACGCGAGCUGGGUUCAGAACGUCGUGAGACAGUUCGGUCCCUAUCCGUCGCAGGCGUAGGAAAUUUGAGAAGACCUGUCCUUAGUACGAGAGGACCGGGAUGGACGUACCUCUGGUGUACCAGUUGUCCUGCCAAGGGCAUGGCUGGGUAGCUAUGUACGGAAUGGAUAAGCGCUGAAAGCAUCUAAGCGCGAAGCCAACUUCAAGAUAAGAUUUCCCACCG